rnacentral:rRNA from 1 species
UACGUAGGGGGCUAGCGUUGUUCGGAAUCAUUGGGCGUAAAGCGCGCGUAGGCGGCCCGGUAAGUCCGCUGUGAAAGUCAAAGGCUCAACCUUUGAAUGUCAGUGGAUACUGCCGGGCUAGAGUCCGGAAGAGGCGAGUGGAACUCCUGGUGUAGCGGUGAAAUGCGCAGAUAUCAGGAGGAACACCAAUGGCGAAGGCAGCUCGCUGGGACGGUACUGACGCUGAGACGCGAAAGCGUGGGGAGCAAACAGG